rnacentral:lncRNA from 1 species
GGCUAGAGAAAUUCUAUUUAGAUAAUAAGAGAAGAAUAUAAAUUAAUAAAUAUAUAUUUUUUAAAAUAUUUUUACCGGUGUAGUUGGUGGAUAGGGAUGUCCAUAGAUAUAGCUAAAUAUUUGAAUAUUUGUAUAAAAACGAAAAUCUAAUGGACUAGAAUUCGAAUGUGGAUUUUGUCUGUAACCUAUUAAACUUGAAUCUCACCCAAAUUCGAAUAGUUUUUACAUUAUUAUAUAACUAGUAAAAUGUACGUGCAAAUGCACAUAAUAAUUAUUAGAAGAAGUUAUAAUUUUUUUAAAUUAUUUUUUAAUUUUAGGCCAUAUUUUAUAUGAUUGCCAAAUAUGUAUCUAAAAAAUUUAAAAUAAUAAAUCACGCUAUUAAGAAAGAUAUGCUUUAAAUGAUAAAUAAUUAAUAAUAAUCUCUAAUGCAAAAAUUUCUUUUAAAAUUAAAUAGAAAAAUAAAAUCUGUUAGGAAAUAAAUUUUUGAAAUUAAAUAGAAAAAUAAAAUCCGUUAUCUUAAAAAGAAAAUAUAUUUUGAAAUUAAAUAGAUAAUGUCUAAAAAAGAUAUUGUAAAAUAAAAUAGGAAAAUACCUUUUAUAGGAUUUUCACACCCGUAAUCUGUUAUAGAAAACUUACUUUUGAAAUUAAAGAGAAAAAUUUAUAUUUUAAGAUUUUCACAUCACUAAUCUGUUAUAGAGAACUUACGUAUUCAUUGCUGUUUCUAUUUCUAUUUUUAUUCUUAUAUUUAAAAUUUUUCGUACGGAAAGAAAAAAAUGGGCGCUAAUUUUUCCGCCGAAAAAUGGGUCUGUCGACAGAUCCAAAUUUGAAUAUACGUGCUUUUAUAUAUAGUAUAGAUAUAUGUAAAUGCUCCAUAAUAUAUUUUAAUUUAUAUUUUAAAACUUUUCAUUUUAAUAUAAUCUAUUUUUAAAUAUGAUAAGGAGGAGUGGUUGUUUCGAAUUUCUGUUCUGAUUAGAUGUGAAUUUUUAAAAUUCAUCGGAUUCUAAUUUGCACUCAGAUUUGGUUGUUAGGUUAGAAUUUGGAUUUUUAAAAAUUGAUCCCGAAUUCAAUCCGCUGACAUUCCUGUUGGCGUAUGAUGUGACGAAUCUGGUCCAUAUGAUAAUGUUUUGCGGUGUUCGAAGUUGCAAAGGUCCGGUUUCCAUGCCCCCUAUCUAUGGUAGGCGUGUCAAAGAACCGAAAACCAGCGAGAUGAGGUGUGCUCGUGUUUGACUCAUUUCAUAAACGAGCAGAAUACAAACUGACUUACGAAUAACAAGUUAAAAGAACUAAAAAUAUUACAUAUAAAAAAUAAAUUUAUGGGAUUUUAUUUAUUAGAAUUUAAUCUAAUGGUUAAAAUUUUAUAUAUAAAUAGACAUUUUCAUAAUUUAGUUGGGCUUUAUAUUUGAGUUGAGCUAAAAUUCAAAUAAUAAAUAUAUAUAUAUAUAAUUAUUUAUUUAUAUAUGAAUAUAAAUUAUAUAACUUAUAUAAAUAUAAAAUAUGUGCAUUCGAGCUGUUAUUAAGCUGAAUAUGAGCGAAUUGACCCCCUAGCUCCUAUUCAACCCGUUUAUUAAAUGAGCUCAAAAAUUCAGCUCGUGUUUGACUCCUUUGCUAAAAGAACGAUUAGAUCUCGAACUCAUUUCGAGCCGAAUAUGAACUGGCUAGCGAACAACAAGCUGGAUUACCACUCCUAAUCUAUGAAUCUUUUGUGUGCGUGUGUAGAUCGGGCUCAUUUUGAGACUGAUACAAACUGAUUUGCGAACAACGAGCUAGAUUACCACCCAUAGUUUGCGUGUGUGUGAACACGAGCUCAUUCGUAAACAUCGAGCUGAAUUGC